UGAGCAAUGUGCCCUUGACUCUGGGAUAAGCGCUGGAAACGGCGUCUAAUACCGGAUACGACGAUCGGAGGCAUCUCCUGGUCGUGGAAAGAACUUCGGUCAAGGAUCAGCUCACGGCCUAUCAGUUAGUUGGUGAGGUAAUGGCUCACCAAGACGACGACGGGUAGCCGGCCUGAGAGGGUGACCGGCCACACUGGGACUGAGACACGGCCCAGACUCCGUAGGAGG
rnacentral:rRNA from 1 species